AGCUCACAGUUCCCACUACUACAAAUGUGGGCAAAGGCCACACAUGUAUUGCCACAAAUUUGUAAAACUGAGGAUAUGGAGCUCAUACCCACUGUAUAUUGGUCUAUAUCCUCCACUUAUAAGCACAAAGCGUGGGAGGUUGAUUAAAUAAAUAUUAUUUAUUUAUUUAUUUAUAUUCAAACUAAUAUAUAAUACUUGUUUAACUUUUCUUUUCUGUGAAAGCUAAUUUUAUGGAAUAUUUUAUCCUUUCCUCUUCCUCUUCGAUCACAUCAUAAAUUGUGCUCCACACCUUUAAUUUGAAUCUCAGACUCUCUCUCUCUUUCAUCUUCUUCUCAGAAAAAAAAAAAAACUUAUCUCUUUUUCUGGUCUCUCUCUACCUCUCUCUAUCUGGUCUUACUGCUCCAAAUUCACCAUGAUCGAUUACCCUGGACAGUCUGAAUUGGGUUGCAGAGAUUGAAGAGAUUUCAGACUGUGUUCGUGGAGAGCGAGGUUGCGAAUCACCUGGGAUGAAAAAGCCAUAAGCCAUUACAACUCGUUCGUCGUGCUUGAACCUAAGACCUGGGAUGAAGCUCCUGUGGAUAACACAAACAGCACUGAGUAGGAGGCUGAAACCAUGGCAGCGAUUAAACCCAAGAAGAUCAUCAUUGAGAUCCUGAUUUCGGCCAAAUCAAUUGCAAAUUGAAGCUGCUCUUCUUGCUUUCCCUUGUACUCACCAACUUGAUUAAGCCAUCCAUCCCCAGAAAGAUGAGAUAAAAUGAAUAAUAUCAAGAAUCUAAUCAAUUUCAAUUUCGGAACUACAAAGAAGCAAGAGGACUGAGGACUCAGUACUGGACCAUGAAUAGACGCGAUCGUUGACCAAAAAAAAAAAAAAAAUAGAAGCAAU